UAAGGAAUAUUGCUCAAUGGGAGAAAUCCUGAAGCAGCAACGCCGCGUGGAGGAUGAAGGGUCUAUGACUUGUAAACUCCUGUAAAGAAGGAAAAAAUUCCCAUUAGAUGGGAGAUGAUGGUACUUCUGGAGUAAGCCCCGGCUAACUACGUGCCAGCAGCCGCGGUAAUACGUAGGGGGCAAGCGUUGUCCGGAUUUACUGGGUGUAAAGGGUGCUCAGGCGGAUUUGUAAGUCAGAGGUGAAAUCUUACAGCUUAACUGUGAAACUGCCUUUGNUACUGCAAGCCUAGAGUAUGGAAGAGAUUGAUGGAAUAUCUGGUGUAGCAGUGAAAUGCGUAGAUAUCAGAUAGAACACCAAUGGCGAAGGCAGUCACUUUGUCCAUUACUGACGCUAAAGCACGAAAGCGUGGGUAGCAAACA
rnacentral:rRNA from 1 species